rnacentral:rRNA from 1 species
GUGGGGAAUCUUCCGCAAUGGACGAAAGUCUGACGGAGCAACGCCGCGUGAACGAUGACGGCCUUCGGGUUGUAAAGUUCUGUUAUACGGGACGAAUGGUACGACGGCCAAUACCCGUCGUAAGUGACGGUACCGUAAGAGAAAGCCACGGCUAACUACGUGCCAGCAGCCGCGGUAAUACGUAGGUGGCAAGCGUUGUCCGGAAUUAUUGGGCGUAAAGGGCGCGCAGGCGGCGUCGUAAGUCGGUCUUAAAAGUGCGGGGCUUAACCCCGUGAGGGGACCGAAACUGCGAUGCUAGAGUAUCGGAGAGGAAAGCGGAAUUCCUAGUGUAGCGGUGAAAUGCGUAGAUAUUAGGAGGAACACCAGUGGCGAAAGCGGCUUUCUGGACGACAACUGACUCUGAGGCGCGAAAGCCAGGGGAGCAAACGGGAUUAGAAACCCUAGUAGUCC